AACGUAGGAGACAAACGUUAUCCGGAGUUACUGGGCGUAAAGGGCGUGUAGGUGGUUAUGUAAGUCUGGCGUGAAAUUUUUCGGCUUAACCGGGAAAGGUCGUCGGAUACUGCACAACUAGAGGACGGUAGAGGCGUGUGGAAUUCCGGGUGUAGUGGUGAAAUGCGUAGAGAUCCGGAGGAACACCAGUGGCGAAGGCGGCCUUCUGGACAGUGACUGACGCUGAGACGCGAAAGCGUGGGGAGCAAACAGG
rnacentral:rRNA from 1 species